GCAAGAUGGUGGGGGGGGGCGAGGCUGGUGUGACUUUAGGGCAGCCACACCUUUCUCGGCAAGAUCUCGCUACUUUGGAUGUUUCCAAGUUGACGCCACUUUCACAUGAAGUUAUCAGCAGACAAGCCACAAUUAAUAUAGGUACAAUGGGUCACGUAGCUCAUGGGAAAUCUACAGUUGUAAAAGCUAUUUCUGGAGUCCACACUGUCCAUUUCAAAAAUGAACUGGAAAGAAAUAUUACAAUCAAACUUGGCUAUGCUAAUUCUAAGAUUUAUAAACUUGACGACCCAAGUUGUCCUCGGCCAGAAUGUUAUAGAUCCUGUGGAAGCAGCACACCCGAUGAGUUUCCCACAGACAUUCCAGGGACCAAAGGGAACUUCAGAUUAGUCAGGCAUGUUUCCUUUGUUGACUGUCCUGGCCACGAUAUUCUGAUGGCUACUAUGCUGAACGGUGCCGCAGUGAUGGAUGCCGCUCUUCUGUUGAUAGCUGGUAACGAGUCUUGUCCUCAGCCUCAGACAUCUGAACACUUGGCUGCUAUAGAAAUCAUGAAACUGAAGCACAUUUUGAUUCUACAAAAUAAAAUUGAUUUGGUAAAAGAAAGCCAGGCUCAAGAACAGUAUGAACAGAUCCUUGCAUUUGUUCAAGGUACAGUAGCAGAAGGCGCUCCUAUUAUCCCAAUUUCUGCUCAGCUAAAAUACAAUAUUGAAGUUGUCUGUGAGUACAUAGUAAAGAAAAUUCCAGUACCCCCAAGAGACUUUACUUCAGAACACAGACUUAUUGUUAUUAGAUCCUUUGAUGUCAACAAACCUGGCUGUGAAGUUGAUGACCUUAAGGGGGGUGUAGCUGGUGGUAGUAUUCUAAAAGGAGUGUUAAAGGUGGGCCAGGAGAUAGAAGUCAGGCCUGGUAUUGUUUCCAAAGACAGUGAAGGAAAACUCAUGUGUAAACCUAUCUUUUCCAAAAUUGUAUCGCUUUUCGCAGAGCAUAAUGAUCUUCAAUAUGCUGCCCCAGGAGGUCUUAUUGGAGUUGGAACAAAAAUUGACCCCACUUUGUGCCGGGCUGACAGAAUGGUGGGGCAAGUACUUGGUGCAGUUGGAGCUUUACCUGAGAUCUUCACAGAAUUGGAAAUUUCCUAUUUCCUGCUUAGACGGCUUCUAGGUGUUCGCACUGAAGGAGACAAGAAAGCAGCGAAAGUACAAAAGCUGUCUAAGAAUGAAGUGCUUAUGGUGAAUAUAGGAUCCCUGUCAACAGGAGGAAGAGUUAGUGCAGUCAAGGCUGAUUUGGGCAAAACCGUCUUGACUAAUCCUGUGUGCACAGAAGUAGGAGAAAAAAUUGCACUUAGCCGAAGAGUUGAGAAACACUGGCGUUUAAUUGGUUGGAGUCAAAUAAGAAGAGGAGCGACAAUCAAGCCAACAGUAGAUGAUGACUGAAGAAUUAAAUAACAGAUCUGGAUGAAGUUGGAAUUUCUCUUAACAACCUAGGGGUAUAUUUUCAGAACAAUACUGGGAAAGUAAUUUCACAGCUCAUUACCUUAGUAGUAGCUGUAAGGUUAUUCUCAUUUUUUGGUGAUGAAAAUUUAACCUCUAGUACUGAAAUAGAGCCUACAAUAAAUGUAGAAAUUAGCAUCA